AUUGAACGCUGGCGGAAUGCUUUACACAUGCAAGUCGAACGGCAGCACGGGGCAACCUGGUGGCGAGUGGCGAACGGGUGAGUAAUACAUCGGAACGUGCCCAAUCGUGGGGGAUAACGUAGCGAAAGCUACGCUAAUACCGCAUACGAUCUACGGAUGAAAGCGGGGGAUCGCAAGACCUCGCGCGAUUGGAGCGGCCGAUAUCAGAUUAGCUAGUUGGUGGGGUAAAAGCUCACCAAGGCGACGAUCUGUAGCUGGUCUGAGAGGACGACCAGCCACACUGGAACUGAGACACGGUCCAGACUCCUACGGGAGGCAGCAGUGGGGAAUUUUGGACAAUGGGCGCAAGCCUGAUCCAGCAAUGCCGCGUGCAGGAUGAAGGCCUUCGGGUUGUAAACUGCUUUUGUACGGAACGAAACGGUGAGCUCUGAUAAAGCUUGCUAAUGACGGUACCGUAAGAAUAAGCACCGGCUAACUACGUG
rnacentral:rRNA from 1 species